ACACGCUGGCGGUGUGCUUAACACAUGCAAGUGGUGCGACGAACCAGAGCUUGCUCUGGGGCAAAGCCGCGAACGGGUGAGUAACACGUGGGUAAUCUACCCCGAUGACCGGGACAACCCGAGGAAACUCGGGCUAAUACCGGAUGUGGUACGGAGACAUAAGUCUCUUUACUAAAGGUAGCUUCGGCUUCCGCAUUGGGAGGGGCCCGCGGCCCAUUAGCUAGUUGGUGGGGUCAAGGCCUACCAAGGCAACGAUGGGUAGCUGGUCUGAGAGGACGAUCAGCCACACUGGGACUGAGACACGGCCCAGACUCCUACGGGAGGCAGCAGUGGGGAAUCUUGCGCAAUGCGCGAAAGCGUGACGCAGCAACACCGCGUGAGGGAAGACGGCCUUAGGGUUGUAAACCUCUUUCAGAUGGGACGAAGGUGAUGCGGUGAAUAGCCGAUGUCAUUGACGGUACCGUCAGAAGAAGCUCCGGCUAACUACGUG
rnacentral:rRNA from 1 species